GUCUCAGGCCGUAUCAGCCUGAAGGCGCCCGAUCUCGUCUGAUCUCGGAAGACUAAGCAGGGUCGGGCCUGGUUAGUACCUUGGAUGGGAGACCACCUGGGAAUCCCGGGUGCUCGAGGCU
rnacentral:rRNA from 1 species